rnacentral:rRNA from 1 species
AUUGAACGCUGGCGGCAGGCCUAACACAUGCAAGUCGAGCGGAUGAAGAGAGCUUGCUCUCUGAUUUAGCGGCGGACGGGUGAGUAAUGCCUAGGAAUCUGCCUGGUAGUGGGGGAUAACGUUCCGAAAGGAACGCUAAUACCGCGUACGUCCUACGGGAGAAAGCAGGGGACCUUCGGGCCUUGCGCUAUCAGAUGAGCCUAGGUCGGAUUAGCUAGUUGGUAGGGUAAAGGCCUACCAAGGCAACGAUCCAUAGCUGGUCUGAGGGGAUGAUCAGCCACACUGGGACUGAGACACGGCCCAGACUCCUACGGGAGGCAGCAGUGGGGAAUAUUGGACAAUGGGCGAAAGCCUGAUCCAGCAACGCCGUGUGUGUGAAGAAGGCCUUCGGGUUGUAAAGCACUUUUAGUUGGGAAGAAAAGCUCAAGGUUAAUACCGUUGAGUGAUGACGUUACCAACAGAAAAAGCACUGGCUAACUCUGUGCCAGCCGCCGCGGUAAGAC